UACGUAGGGUGCAAGCGUUAAUCGGAAUUACUGGGCGUAAAGCGUGCGCAGGCGGUUUUGUAAGACUGUCGUGAAAUCCCCGGGCUCAACCUGGGAAUGGCGAUGGUGACUGCAAGGCUAGAGUUUGGCAGAGGGGGGUAGAAUUCCACGUGUAGCAGUGAAAUGCGUAGAUAUGUGGAGGAACACCGAUGGCGAAGGCAGCCCCUUGGGUCAAAACUGACGCUCAUGCACGAAAGCGUGGGGAGCAAACAGG
rnacentral:rRNA from 1 species